rnacentral:rRNA from 1 species
CCUACGGGUGGCAGCAGUGAGGAAUAUUGGUCAAUGGACGAGAGUCUGAACCAGCCAAGUAGCGUGAAGGAUGACUGCCCUAUGGGUUGUAAACUUCUUUUAUAUGGGAAUAAAAUGUUCCACGUGUGGGAUUUUGUAUGUACCAUAUGAAUAAGGAUCGGCUACCUCCGUUCCAGCAGCCGCGGUAAUACGGAGGAUCCGAUCGUUAUCCGGAUUUAUUGGGUUUAAAGGGAGCGUAGGUGGAUUGUUAAGUCAGUUGUGAAAGUUUGCGGCUCAACCGUAAAAUUGCAGUUGAAACUGGCAGUCUUGAGUACAGUAGAGGUGGGCGGAAUUCGUGGUGUAGCGGUGAAAUGCUUAGAUAUCACGAAGAACUCCGAUUGCGAAGGCAGUUCACUGGACUGCAACUGACACUGAGGCUCGAAAGUGUGGGUAUCAAACAGGAUUAGAUACCCCUGUAGUC